rnacentral:rRNA from 1 species
AGUCACUGACAUUAGAUACCCCCGUAGUCCAGGGUGUAAACGCUGCAGACUUGGUGUUGGAAGUCCUUUGGGGGCAUUCAGUGCCGGAGAGAAGUUGUUAAGUCUGCUACUUGGGGAGUACGUCCGCAAGGAUGAAACUUAAAGGAAUUGGCGGGGGAGCACCGCAACGGGAGGAGCGUGCGGUUUAAUUGGAUUCAACACCGUAAACUCACCAGGGAAGACUGUUACAUGAAGGCCGAGAUGAAGACUCUGCUAGAUUUUCAG